UACGUAGGGGGCAAGCGUUGUCCGGAAUCAUUGGGCGUAAAGAGCGCGUAGGCGGCCCAGUAAGUCCGCUCUGAAAGUCAGAGGCUCAACCUCUGAAUGCGGGUGGAUACUGCUGGGCUAGAGUCCGGAAGAGGCGAGUGGAAUUCCUGGUGUAGCGGUGAAAUGCGCAGAUAUCAGGAGGAACACCGAUGGCGAAGGCAGGUCUCUGGGCCGAUACUGACGCUGAGGAGCGAAAGCGUGGGGGAGCGAACAGG
rnacentral:rRNA from 1 species